AUUGAACGCUGGCGGCAGGCCUAACACAUGCAAGUCGAACGAGUGGCGGACGGGUGAGUAACGUCUGGGACACUGCCUUAUGGAGGGGGAUAACUACUGGAAACGGUAGCUAAUACCGCAUACCAGUCGAUGUGCCCUGAUGGGGUUAGCUUGUUGGUGGGGUAACGGCUCACCAAGGCGACGAGCCCUAGCUGGUCUGAGAGGUUGACCAGCAACACUGGAACUGAGACACGGUCCAGAAUCCUCCGGGAGGCAGCAGUAGGGAAUAUUGCGCAAUGGGCGAAAGCCUGAUGCAGCCAUGCCGCGUGUGUGAAGAAGGCCUUCGGGUUGUAAAGUACUUUCAGCAGGGAGGCGUUACCCGCAGAAAAAGCACCGGCUAACUCCGUGCCAGCAGCCGCGGUAAUUC
rnacentral:rRNA from 1 species